CAAAGAAAAAAAUAAAAGAAGAAAAAAAUAGAAGUUAGAGAUAGAAGAGAGUAAAAAAACAAAAAGGGAAAAAACGAAAAAACUAAAAUAGAAAAAAGAGAAGAAUAAACGAGGAAAACACAAAAAAAGAAAAAAGAAAAAAAUGUUAGUGUUUUUGGCGAGACUAAAUAUGUAGUUUAUUUAUAUUUUUUAUGAAUACAGACCACUGAGUAAAAAUGAAUACAACGGCUAAAUAGGUACUAUAUUUAUAUUUUAUAUGAAUACAAACUAUUGAUAAAAUCGAAUACAACGGGCG
rnacentral:lncRNA from 1 species